rnacentral:rRNA from 1 species
GAUCAUGGCUCAGGAUGAACGCUGGCGGCGUGCUUAACACAUGCAAGUCGAACGGGAAACUUUUCAUUGAAGCUUCGGCAGAUUUGGUCUGUUUCUAGUGGCGGACGGGUGAGUAACGCGUGGGUAACCUGCCUUAUACAGGGGGAUAACAACCAGAAAUGGUUGCUAAUACCGCAUAAGCGCACGGGACCGCAUGGUCCGGUGUGAAAAACUCCGGUGGUAUAAGAUGGACCCGCGUUGGAUUAGCUAGUUGG